CUUUGUGGGAGGCAACAGCUGUGCAGGUACCACGACAACGCACGCCACUCCCCGCCGCCAACGACACUGCCGCUCCGCGCUCCACCCCGUCGCCACAAUAUCGUUCACCUCCCGCCUUUCGGCAGGGCAUAGGACACACGGCCGCCCGCUCGUGCUGCGCGUCAUUCGAAGGCAGCGUGCUCGUGGGGGACAGAGGCGGAUCGAGAACCAGAGGCAAAAGUGGUCGUGGUUGCGUCGCCAUCGAGUAUUCCAAGGAUGAUUGCCGAGGCAACAGCCAAUCAUAGAGCCACAAUUUGCUGCAGCUGUGACGUUAUGGGUUAUACUCCCAUUCAGUCUUCCAGCAUGUCUCUCUGGCUGUUAGAUGUGCAGGUGUCUGGAUGGCGUCAUUAGGAGGUCCUACUUAUUUAUUGUCUGCCUUUUGUUUCUCUCUAUGUAAACUUUUGUCGAGGAAAUAAAUUACCUAUAUUGUGUCGACUUA